rfam:Ictidomys tridecemlineatus contig003881, whole genome shotgun sequence.
GGACCAAUGAUUACUUACAAAAACAAAUCUUGUUGUAAUCUGAACAAAAUGAGUGACCAAACCACUUCUGUGAGCUAAGGUUC